AUUGAACGCUGGCGGCAGGCCUAACACAUGCAAGUCGAGCGAGCGGCGGACGGGUGAGUAAUGUAUGGGGACUGCCCGAUAGAGGGGGAUAACUACUGGAAACGGUAGCUAAUACCGCAUACCCUGAGAUAACCCAUAUGGGAUUAGCUUGUAGGUGAGGUAACGGCUUACCUAGGCAACGAUCCCUAGCUGGUCUGAGAGGAUGAUCAGCCACACUGGGACUGAGACACGGCCCAGACCCCUACGGAGGCAGCAGUGGGGAAGUGUGCGCAAUGGUCGCAAGCCUGACGCAGCCAUGCCGCGUGUAUGAAGAAGGCCUUCGGGUUGUAAAAUUCUUUCAGUCGGGAGGCGUUACCGACAGAGUAAGCACCGGCUAACUCCGUGCCAGCCGCCGCGGUAAUUC
rnacentral:rRNA from 1 species